rnacentral:lncRNA from 1 species
AGCGUCCCCGCUCCAGGGUGCAGACUUUCCCCGCCGCCACCGCCACCGCCACUGCCACCGCGAGGGUGACAGCACCCUUCGAAGAGUGAGUGUUUGCCUGUGUGCAAUUAGGAAAGGCAACCCCGUGAAGCGAUCGACAUGCCCUCACCCCAUCAAAACCAGGGCAACUCGACUCUGUUGAGGAAACAAACUCCAUUCCAUCCCAAGCCGGAGUGAAACGUGAGCUUUGCACAAACACUGGCACUGCUUCGGGAAUACCGGGAAACUCGCCUUUCUUCCAGCGGCCUCCGCAGAGCUUUGCCCAGACAGCAGUACUAGCUUGCUGGGGGUUUUAGUGUGUGAGAUGAGUUUUGGUUCCGUGCUUGCAGCCAGGUGUUAGCACUGGUGUGUGUUGGGCCCUAUCAGCCCUAUGACCAACAGCCGGCCUGGCCUCUCCAGCGUCUCCUCUCCCGCCAUGGACCUGAAGCCUCACUCAAACCUCGCUUCUGCAAAGGCGUCCUGUAGACAAAAGCCUGCCCUUAAAAAUUUUAAAGACUGUAUGCUAUUCCUGUUUAGACUCACGCAAUGGGGAUAAUCCAUGCUGCCCUGAAAAUAGGGUUGAGAACUAAGAUGGAGUGAGUUCACGUGGCCCUUUAAUAGUAGAAACAGAACCGGAACUCCGAUAAACCCAGCAUUCUGUUACUGAGUUACAGAACUAUUCUACAGAAUCCUAGAGGUGGACCAGAGUGUUGUCCUCUUGUCAUCCCCCCCCCCCCUAUGACAUUCUAGCAAUCUGGCUGUUUCUGAUUGCUGUGGUUGUGAUUGCACACAAUUCCAUCGCUGGAAAACUCUAAUGAUUGCACUGUUGUUUCGAACACUAACUGGAAUUCUCUGAGAAACUGUUCUUUAAACAAUGAAAGGCUAAAAUUACUCUUUUCCGCAUAUUUUUAAUUGGUGUGGAUGUAUUUGAAAAUCAUGAUAAAAAUGAGCUUUCUAUUGUGUUCACAUUUAGGUUCCAGUCCAGGCUGUGUGUGCUAUGAAUUAUUGGGAACAAUCUUUGGUUUCUAGGUAGUGCUUUGAGGUUAUGUAAUGAAAUGUUAUAUUGUAAUAUUUUAACAUUUUAAAUGAUUUGACACUUAAUAUUUAUUAUUUUUUUUUAUGUGCUUUGGUAUUUGACCUGCAUGUAUGUCUGUGUGAAGGUGUCAGAUCCCCUGGAAUUGGAGUUAUAGAUACUUGUUAACUGCUAUAUGGAUGCUGGGAAUUGAACCUGUUUCCUCUGAAAAAACAGCCAGUGCUUUUAACAAUGGAGCCAUCUCUCCAGCUCUCCUCCUCCUAUUAUUAUUAUUAUUAUUAUUAUUAUUACUAUUACUAAUGUGUGCUCCAGAGGACAACUUCUGAACAGUUGCUACCUUCUUUGAUACAGGGUCUCUCAUUGGCCUGGUGCUCAUGGAUUAGGCUAGCAAGCGCCAGGAUACCUUGUCUCUGUCUCCCAGGAACGGCAUUCCAAGCCUAGGCCACUGUCCUGACAUUUUGUGUGGUUCUGAAGAUCUGUUUCAGGGCUUCAUGCUUAUAAGCAGCAGUUCCCAACGUGUGGGUCCAGAUCUCUUUGGGAGCCGAAAGGGCCUUUCACAGGGGUCACAGGUCAGAUACCCUGAAUGUUGCAUAUUUAUAUUACAAUUCAUAGCAGCUGCAAAACUACAGCUAUGAAGUAGCAAUGAAAUAAUCUUACAGUUGGGGGGAGGUCACCACAGCAUGAGGAACUGUCUGAAAGGGUCGCAGCAUUAGGGAGGUUGCGAGCCACUGUUUAUAAGGCAAGCUCUCUAUUGAGAGAGCAAUCUUCCUGGUCAUAUCUUGAUCUUUAUAGUAUCCAAAAAAAAAUUAUUUUUCUGUGUAACUGAGUUAAGUUGGAAUCACUAAGUAAAGAUAAGUGAGUUUAAGAAAGUCUUAAACUGUUUUCUUUACCCUCUGUAUUAGUUUUCUAUCUUGCAUAACAAGUUCCCUCCCAGGUUACUUACUGGCUUUUAGCAAUACACACUCUCUUCCACCUCUUGCUGUGAGGUAGAAAUUGGGGCGGGAGGAUGGCUCCUACGCUGUCUCUGCCCAGGGCUGGGGCGGGAGGAUGGCUCCUACGCUGUCUCUACCCAGGGCUGGGGCAGGAGGAUGGCUCCUACGCUGUCUCUGCCCAGGGCUGGGGCGGGAGGAUGGCUCCUACGCUGUCUCUGCCCAGGGCUGGGGCGCGAGGAUGGCUCCUACGCUGUCUCUGCCCAGGGCCUCAGAAGGCAGAGGCAGCGGCAGGCCUGGACUCUUUUAUCACUAGGACUUAAUCCAGUUUGUUGGUUGAACUUAGUUCCAGGAGGAUGUUGGGGUGGGGGUGGGGCACCCCAUGUUGUCUUUAGCUGCGGUGGGGUUCUUCUGAGGUCUGCUUCCUUUCAUCUGCACAGCCAGCAAUAGCACUCGGGAGGAGCCCGGAUCCUGGCCUCUCUUUCCGGCUUCCCUUCCCGCAGAGCUCACCGGUGUCUUUAGUCAGCUGACUUACAGUAACCUUAAUUACACCUGAGUGGUAGCAAGUAUUGUCCCUAAGAGUUAAAGGCUUGAGUGACAGGGCUUUUGAAGUAGAAAUGGUUUGAAGUUUGGGUAUCAAACCCCUCUAGACACAGUUUUUCGAUGGUGGCAACAGACAGAAUUAAUUCAUCCUUUAAAGUGACUUUUAAACAUCUUAAGAAUUAACUUUUUUUUUUUUUUUGUAAGAUAAAAUUUAAAACCCUGGUGACAUCAGAUAUUACCCAUUAGUCAUCUUUUUGAGUUUAUGUAACAAUAAAUAUUUUCCAUAAUUGUUGCCUCCUUCCCCUACCCCCAUGAGACAGGGCCUUACCAUGUAGCACAGGCUGUCCUGGAAUUCCAGAGCCUUCCAGAAUGCUCCCUGAGUGUCACCAUACCUAGCUUAGUGUUUCUUAAAACUCAACCUCUGCUUUGUAAAAUCUUCUCCAGUCUUUGGUUUUUGAUAUUAUAAUGGACGUUUACAGUACCUAAACACACACAUAAUAAUACUUGUGAGUGCUUUUCAUGUAAACUCUGAUUUCAGCCUUGGAGAAUUUUGAAUGUACUAAACAUAACUACUCUAGAUUUCAAUUUUCAGUGAGAAAACCGGGUCUCCUGACUUCCCUGUCAUUAAUGAGCUUGCAGCUUCUUGUUUGUAAGGCAAAUGUAAAUGCUUUCUUCAUUUCUUAGAGGUCUGAGUGCCUCUCACAUCUUACUAGGCUUGCUUUUAUAUUUUAAUUUACUGUUUAUAAAAUUGGAUUACUAUUGCUUUAUAAAUUCUAUUUUUUUCUUUCAGAAAAUGGUGUGUGUGUGUGUGUGUGUGUGUGUGUGUGUGUGUGUAUUUUAGGCAAGCAUUUUACUGCUGAGUCAAAAAGUAAUUAGCUUCAUAGUCACUUGAAAACAGGAAAAUUGGGUUUCUCUUGAACUUGUCUUGUUUUGAAAGAAAGACAUUUGGUUCUUUCCUUCUGCUGAAAAGGUUAACUAUAAAUUGC